rnacentral:tRNA from 1 species
AAGGAUGUGGCUCAGAGGUAGAGCACUUGCCUUGCAUUCAAGACCUGGGGUUUCAUCCCCAGCAUCCCAA